ACACCGAUGGUGAAGCGGUUAUCAUGCUUGCCUUCCAUUCAGAUCGGUAGCAAGCGGCAGGGGUUCGACUCCCCUUCGGUGUA